GACGAACGCUGGCGGCGUGCUUAACACAUGCCAGUCGAACGGAAAGGCCCUGCUUUUGUGGGGUGCUCGAGUGGCGAACGGGUGAGUAACCCGUGAGUAACCUGCCCUUGACUUUGGGAUAACUUCAGGAAACUGGGGCUAAUACCGGAUAGGAGCUCCUGCUGCAUGGUGGGGGUUGGAAAGUUUCGGCGGUUGGGGAUGGACUCGCGGCUUAUCAGCUUGUUGGUGGGGUAGUGGCUUACCAAGGCUUUGACGGGUAGCCGGCCUGAGAGGGUGACCGGCCACAUUGGGACUGAGAUACGGCCCAGACUCCUACGGGAGGCAGCAGUGGGGAAUAUUGCACAAUGGGCGGAAGCCUGAUGCAGCAACGCCGCGUGCGGGAUGACGGCCUUCGGGUUGUAAACCGCUUUCGCCUGUGACGAAGCGUGAGUGACGGUAAUGGGUAAAGAAGCACCGGCUAACUACGUG
rnacentral:rRNA from 1 species